CCUACGGGAGGCAGCAGUGGGGAAUAUUGGACAAUGGGCGCAAGCCUGAUCCAGCCAUGCCGCGUGAGUGAUGAAGGCCUUAGGGUUGUAAAGCUCUUUUGUCCGGGAAGAUAAUGACUGUACCGGAAGAAUAAGCCCCGGCUAACUUCGUGCCAGCAGCCGCGGUAAUACGAAGGGGGCUAGCGUUGCUCGGAAUCACUGGGCGUAAAGGGCGCGUAGGCGGACUCUUAAGUCGGGGGUGAAAGCCCAGGGCUCAACCCUGGAAUUGCCUUCGAUACUGGGAGUCUUGAGUUCGGAAGAGGUUGGUGGAACUGCAAGUGUAGAGGUGAAAUUCGUAGAUAUAUCACNNGUGANUUCGCGGCCGNCUG
rnacentral:rRNA from 1 species